rfam:Cricetulus griseus cell line CHO-K1, whole genome shotgun sequence.
GUAAUGCUCAAAAUCUGGUGGCACUUUAUUCCAGAAUAAAAAGUGCUGCCAUGGUUUGAGUACCAC